UCCGGUUUGUCACCGGCAGUCUCAUUAGAGUGCCCAACUAAAUGUAGCAACUAAUGACAAGGGUUGCGCUCGUUGCGGGACUUAACCCAACAUCUCACGACACGAGCUGACGACAGCCAUGCAGCACCUGUGUUCAGGUUCUCCUUCGAGCACUCCCACAUCUCUGCGGGAUUCCUGACAUGUCAAGGGUAGGUAAGGUUCCUCGCGUAUCAUCGAAUUAAUCCACAUCAUCCACCGCUUGUGCGGGUCCCCGUCAAUUCCUUUGAGUUUUAAUCUUGCGACCGUACUCCCCAGGCGGGGUGCUUAAUGCGUUUGCUGCGCCACCGAAGAGCAUGCUCCCCGACGGCUAGCACCCAUAGUUUACGGCGUGGACUAC
rnacentral:misc_RNA from 1 species